UGGGUAACCUGCCUCAUAGAGGGGAAUAGCCUUUCGAAAGGAAGAUUAAUACCGCAUAAGAUUGUAGCUUCGCAUGAAGUAGCAAUUAAAGGAGUAAUCCGCUAUGAGAUGGACCCGCGUCGCAUUAGCUAGUUGGUGAGGUAACGGCUCACCAAGGCGACGACGGGUAGCCGGCCUGAGAGGGCGACCGGCCACACUGGGACUGAGACACGGUCCAGACUCCUACGGGAGGNAGCG
rnacentral:rRNA from 1 species